GAUGAACGCUGGCGGCGUGCCUAAUACAUGCAAGUAGAACGCUGAAGGAAGGAGCUUGCUCUUUCCGGAUGAGUUGCGAACGGGUGAGUAACGCGUAGGUAACCUGCCUGGUAGCGGGGGAUAACUAUUGGAAACGAUAGCUAAUACCGCAUAACAGUAGAUGUUGCAUGAUAUCUACUUAAAAGGUGCAAUUGCACCACUACCAGAUGGACCUGCGUUGUAUUAGCUAGUUGGUGAGGUAACGGCUCACCAAGGCGACGAUACAUAGCCGACCUGAGAGGGUGAUCGGCCACACUGGGACUGAGACACGGCCCAGACUCCUACGGGAGGCAGCAGUAGGGAAUCUUCGGCAAUGGACGGAAGGCUGACCGAGCAACGCCGCGUGAGUGAAGAAGGUUUUCGGAUCGUAAAGCUCUGUUGUAAGAGAAGAGCGAGUGUGAGAGUGGAAAGUUCACACUGUGACGGUAUCUUACCAGAAAGGGACGGCUAACUACGUG
rnacentral:rRNA from 1 species